GACGAACGCUGGCGGCGUGCUUAACACAUGCAAGUCGAACGAAAAGCGACGGAGGCUUGCCUCUAUCAAUCUUAGUGGCGAACGGGGGAGUAACGCGUAAUCAACCUGCCCUUCAGAGGGGGACAAAAGUUGGAGACGACUCCUAAUAACGCCUACGAUCUAAUCUCGGCAUCCAGGGUGGCUUAAAGGUUGCCUCUACAUGUUAGCUCGCACUGGAGGUGGGGAGUGCGUCUGAUUAGCUACCUGGAGGGGGAACGGCCCAACAAGGGCGGGGUGAGGAGCCGGUCCGGAGGGAAGAACGGCCACAAUGGGACCGAGACACGGCCCAGACUCCCAAGGGAGGGAGCAGUGGGGAAACUUCCGACAUUGACGAAAGUCUGACGGAGCAACGCCGGGGGAGUGAUGACGGCCUUCGGGUUGUUAAGCUCUGUUAAUCGGGAAGAAAGGCCUUCUUGCGAAUAGUGAGAAGGAUUGACGGUACCGGAAUAGAAAGCAACGGCUAACUACGUG
rnacentral:rRNA from 1 species